rnacentral:rRNA from 1 species
AUUGAACGCUGGCGGCAGGCCUAACACAUGCAAGUCGAACGCGUGGCGGACGGGUGAGUCAUGUCUGGGAAACUGCCUGUUGGAGGGGGUUAACUACUGGAAACGGUAGCUAAUACCGCCUACUAUCGGAUGUGUCCAGAUGGGAUUAGCUAGUAGGUGGGGUAAAUGCUCCCCUCGGCGACGAUCCCUAGCUGGUCUGAGAGGAUGACCAGCCACACUGGAACUGAGACACGGUCCAGACUCCUACGGGAGGCAGCAGUGGGGAAUAUUGCACGAUGAGCGCAAGCCUAAUGCAGCCAUGCCGCGUGUAUGGAGAAGGCCUUAGGGUUGUAAAGUACUUUCAGCGGGGAGGCAUUACCCGCAGAAGAAUCACCGGCUUACUCCGUGCCAGCAGCCGCGGUAAUAC